rnacentral:tRNA from 2 species
GCGGACGUAGCUCAACUGGAUAGAGCACCUGACUACGGAUCAGACGGUUCCGGGUUCGAAUCCUGGCGUCCGCACCA